GUAGUCUCGCACAGAUGCAUAUCAAUAAGCGGAGGAAAAGAAACUAACAAGGAUUCCCCUAGUAACGGCGAGUGAAGCGGGAAGAGCUCAAAUUUGAAAUCUUAAAGGGUUUCCCUUUACGAAUUGUAGUUUAAAGAAGUGUUUUCUGUUGAGGUUUUGGUAAAAGUUCUUUGGAAUAGGACAUCAUAGAGGGUGAGAAUCCCGUAUUUGACCUUUACUUUCAACUUUGUGAUACACUUUCAAAGAGUCGGAUUGUUUGGGAAUGCAGUCCAAAAUGGGUGGUAAAUUUCAUCUAAAGCUAAAUAUUGGCGAGAGACCGAUAGCGAACAAGUACCGUGAGGGAAAGAUGAAAAGAACUUUGAAAAGAGAGUUAAACAGUACGUGAAAUUGUCAAAAGGGAAGCGUCCGACACCAGUGUUGUUUUCUCGAAAAUCAAUUAAAAAGAGUUUGAUUUUGUUGUGUAUUGACCUUAACAGCUUGCAUUUCAAUUUUCUUGCUUUUUUUAAUGCACUUUUCGUUUAACAAGUCAACAUCAGUUUCCUUUGUUGUAAAAAGGUCAUUGGAAGGUGGCUUUCUUUUCGGAGAAAGUGUUUAUAGCCUUUGACUCCUGCAAUCGGAGAGACUGAGGUCUGCAGCGUAGAUCCUUCGGGGUUAGAUACAUUUGUGCUAAGUUAUAGCUUUUUAUAGACAACUUGUUGACUAUGAUUAGUCUAGUAGCUUACUCGCUUAUGCUAUUUUACCUACGCUUAGGAUGUUGAUGUGAUACUGCGAGCA
rnacentral:rRNA from 1 species